UACGGAGGGAGCUAGCGUUGUUCGGAAUUACUGGGCGUAAAGCGCACGUAGGCGGCUUUGUAAGUUAGAGGUGAAAGCCCGGGGCUCAACCCCGGAAUUGCCUUUAAGACUGCAUCGCUUGAAUCCGGGAGAGGUGAGUGGAAUUCCGAGUGUAGAGGUGAAAUUCGUAGAUAUUCGGAAGAACACCAGUGGCGAAGGCGGCUCACUGGACCGGUAUUGACGCUGAGGUGCGAAAGGCGUGGGGAGCAAACAGG
rnacentral:rRNA from 1 species